GAACGCCUGUAGCAAUACAGGAGUGGCGCACGGGUGAGUAACGCGUGGGAACCUGCCCUGGAGUGGGGGAUAACCGAGGGAAACUUCGGCUAAUACCGCAUACGACCUGAGGGUGAAAGAUUUAUCGCUCUAGGAGGGGCCCGCGUCGGAUUAGCUAGUUGGUGGGGUAACGGCCUACCAAGGCUACGAUCCGUAGCUGGUCUGAGAGGAUGACCAGCCACACUGGGACUGAGACACGGCCCAGACUCCUACGGGAGGCAGCAGUGGGGAAUAUUGGACAAUGGGGGCAACCCUGAUCCAGCAAUGCCGCGUGAGUGAUGAAGGCCUUAGGGUUGUAAAGCUCUUUCGGCGGGGACGAUGAUGACGGUACCCGCAGAAGGAGCCCCGGCUAACUUCGUGCCAGCAGCCGCGGUAAUACGAAGGGGGCGAGCGUUGUUCGGAAUUACUGGGCGUAAAGGGCGCGCAGGCGGCUCAGACAGUCAGGUGUGAAAGCCCCGGGCUUAACCUGGGAACUGCACUUGAUACUACUGAGCUUGAGUACGGGAGAGGAUAGUGGAAUUCCCAGUGUAGAGGGGAAAUUCGUAGAUAUUGGGAAGAACACCGGUGGCGAAGGCGGCUAUCUGGACCGUAACUGACGCUGAGGCGCGAAAGCGUGGGGA
rnacentral:rRNA from 1 species